ensembl:lncRNA
GCCAUGAAAGUCAUAGUAGGCCUACUUUUAAUUGCUGAUGUACUUACAACAUGUAUGCACUAAAAUAAUAGAAAGCAAGAGAGUUUUGACCCCCAUGAGCACUGAUCAGAUCUAACUCUAGACUUUAAUGUCAUCAAACAUCAGAAUCUUUAGAUGGACCAACACCCGCUCUGUGUCUGUCACUGUCACACCCCUGUGGACUGUUGAUUGUGGUUUCUCCCUCUGUGUCCAUAUUUGGUUGUUCCUGUUCUCAUUAUUAGUUAAUCACCUCAUUGUGCUCAACUGUCUGCCCCUCAUUAUCUGCCCUAUACUGGUUCCUCUGUCUUGUGUUUUGGAUGGAAAUCGGGAGGCUUAUGACUGUCCCAUGUCUGAAGAUGAACAAAGCUUUUGCAGGUUUGGAACGAUAUGGGGAUGUCCUCCUCCUGCGGCUGGAACAGAGGGAGAUGCCUCUCGAGGUCCACUCAACGAUCUUUGGCCACCAUGGCUGUCAGUCCACCAGCUCCGUCAUGCUCCAUUGUCCCUCUGGCUCUGCCUUGGCCCUCAGGAUCCUCCCCGUCGCUCUGGCACUUUGGCUGUCCAUCUCUGCCUCUGGCUCCUCCUCCACCUGCUUUGCUGCUGUCGGUCAGCCCCCUGGAGUUGUCAGCCCUUUGUCCACCAUGGCUCCUUCCUCCGUUGGCUCCACCGUAGGUCGCUAUCAUGGCUGUGGCCUUGGUCCCACCUGGCUCCUCCUUCUGCUCUAGUUCCCUUCUGUCAUCUCCCUUGCUCCUCCCUCCGUCAUCACCAUCCAGGACUCUGUUAGUCAUCCUCCUCCUGGGAGUCUGUCCUCCGCCGGAACUUCCACCUGUCUGGUCUGCCUGCAAGCCCUUUGCCUUUCCCUGUUACCAUCCCACAUCCACUCAUUUGUUCUCCUCCUAAGUCCCCCUUUGUCCCUCCCUCUGUCUCCACGACGCGAGAACGCACCUUCCGGGAGGGGGGGGCGAUCUGUCACACCCCUGUGGACCGUUGAUAGUGGUUUCUCGGUCUUUGUCCAUAUUUGGUGGUUCCUGUUUUCAUUAUUAGCUAAUCAUCUCAUUGUGCUCACCUGUCUGCCCCUCGUUAUCGGCCCUAUAUUAGUUCCUGUCUCUUGUGUUCUAGUUUGUCGGUUAUUAAGUUUAUCUUCAGUGCGUACAUGUGUUCAUGCCCGUCUCCCUGUGGAUUAUUAAAGACUUUGUAUUAUCUUCGUUUUUGUCCUCAUUCAUUCCCUUGUGCACCAAACAGUGACACACUGAGUGCACAGUCUCUUCUCUUAUGCCAGGGUAUGAUACAAUUUUCAACUAUUCAGUGAAAGGAGGUGCUUCAG